UACGGGGGGAGCAAGCGUUAUCCGGAUUCACUGGGUUUAAAGGGUGCGUAGGCGGGCAGGUAAGUCCGUGGUGAAAUCUCUGAGCUUAACUCAGAAACUGCCAUGGAUACUAUUUGUCUUGAAUGUUGUGGAGGUAAGCGGAAUAUGUCAUGUAGCGGUGAAAUGCUUAGAUAUGACAUAGAACACCAAUUGCGAAGGCAGCUUACUACACAAAUAUUGACGCUGAGGCACGAAAGCGUGGGGAUCAAACAGG
rnacentral:rRNA from 1 species